ACUCAAUAGAUACCCUGGUAGUCCACGCCCUAAACGAUGUCUACUAGUUGUCGGGUCUUAAUUGACUUGGUAAACGCAGCUAAACGCGUGAAGUAGACCGCCUGGGGAGUACGGUCGCAAGAUUAAAACUCAAAGGAAUUGACGGGGACCCGCACAAGCGGUGGAUGAUGUGGAUUAAAUUCGAUGCAACGCGAAAAACCUUACCUACCCUUGACAUGGAAGGAAUCCCUGAGAGAUUGGGGAGUGCCCGAAAGGGAACCUUUACACAGGUGCUGCAUGGCUGUCGUCAGCUCGUGUCGUGAGAUGUUGGGUUAAGUCCCGCAACGAGCGCAACCCUUGUCAUUAGUUGCUACGAAAGGGCACUCUAAUGAGACUGCCGGUGACAAACCGGAGGAAGGUGGGGAUGACGUCAAGUCCUCAUGGCCCUUAUGGGUAGGGCUUCACACGUCAUACAAUGGUACAUACAGAGGGCCGCCAACCCGCGAGGGGAGCUAAUCCCAGAAAGUGUAUCGUAGUCCGGAUUGUAGUCUGCAACUCGACUGC
rnacentral:rRNA from 1 species